AGCGAACGCUGGCGGCAGGCCUAACACAUGCAAGUCGAACGAACCUUUCGGGGUUAGUGGCGGACGGGUGAGUAACACGUGGGAACGUGCCAUUAGGUUCGGAAUAACUCAGGGAAACUUGUGCUAAUACCGAAUGUGCCCUUCGGGGGAAAGAUUUAUCGCCUUUAGAGCGGCCCGCGUCUGAUUAGCUAGUUGGUUGAGGUAAUGGCUCACCAAGGCGACGAUCAGUAGCUGGUCUGAGAGGAUGAUCAGCCACAUUGGGACUGAGACACGGCCCAAACUCCUACGGGAGGCAGCAGUGGGGAAUCUAGCGCAAUGGGCGAAAGGCUGACGCAGCCAUGCCGCGUGAAUGAUGAAGGUCUUAGGAUUGUAAAAUUCUUUCACCGGGGACGAUAAUGACGGUACCCGGAGAAGAAGCCCCGGCUAACUUCGUG
rnacentral:rRNA from 1 species